rnacentral:rRNA from 1 species
AAAUUGAAGAGUUUGAUCAUGGCUCAGAUUGAACGCUGGCGGCAGGCCUAACACAUGCAAGUCGAACGGUAACAGGAAGCAGCUUGCUGCUUCGCUGACGAGUGGCGGACGGGUGAGUAAUGUCUGGGAAACUGCCUGAUGGAGGGGGAUAACUACUGGAAACGGUGGCUAAUACCGCAUAACGUCGCAAGACCAAAGAGGGGGACCUUCGGGCCUCUUGCCAUCAGAUGUGCCCAGAUGGGAUUAGCUUGUUGGUGAGGUAACGGCUCACCAAGGCGACGAUCCCUAGCUGGUCUGAGAGGAUGACCAGCCACACUGGAACUGAGACACGGUCCAGACUCCUACGGGAGGCAGCAGUGGGGAAUAUUGCACAAUGGGCGCAAGCCUGAUGCAGCCAUGCCGCGUGUAUGAAGAAG